rnacentral:rRNA from 1 species
GACAGAGGUGCCAAGCGUUAGGCGGAAUCACUGGGCUUAAAGCGUGUGUAGGCGGAUGCCUAAGUACCUUGUGAAAUCCCACGGCUCAACCGUGGAACUGCUUGGUAUACUGGGUGUCUUGAGCCAUCUAGGGGCUACCGGAACAAAUGGUGGAGCGGUGAAAUGCGUAGAUAUCGAGAGGAACACCUGCGGCGAAGGCGGGUUGCUGGGCUGACACUGACGCUGAGGCGCGAAGGCUAGGGGAGCGAACGGG